AGUGGCGAACGGGUGAGGAAUUCAUGGAUAACGUGCCCCGGACUCAGGGAUAGCGUUGUGAAAACGACGGUAAUACCUGAUGACCCCGUAGGACCGCAUGGUCCAGCGGGCAAAGCUCCGACGGUCCGGGAGCGAUUCAUGUCCUAUCAGCUAGUUGGUGAGGUAACGGCUCACCAAGGCGGCGACGGGUAUCGGGCGUGAGAGCGUGACCCGACACAUCGGAACUGAGAUACGGUCCGGACACCUACGGGUGGCUGCAGCAACGAAUAUUCCGCAAUGGACGAAAGUCUGACGGAGCGACGCCGCGUGCAGGAAGAAGUCCCUCGGGAUGUAAACUGCUGUCAGGGGUGAGGAACACAAUGACCAACCCCAGAGGAAGCCACGGCUAACUCCGUGCCAGCAGCCGCGGUAAUACGGAGGUGGCGAGCGUUGUUCGGAAUCACUGGGCUUAAAGCGCGUGUAGGCGGGGCGGUAAGUGUCGGGUGAAAGCCCUCGGCUCAACCGAGGAACGGCCUGGCAUACUGCCGUCCUUGAGGCAGACAGAGGUCACUGGAACGACGGGUGGAGCGGUGAAAUGCGUAGAUAUCCGUUGGAACGCCGGCGGCGAAAGCGAGUGACUGGGUCUGUCCUGACGCUGAGACGCGAAAGCGUGGGUAGCAAACAGGAUUAGAUACCCUGGUAGUCCACGCCGUAAACGAUGCGCACUAGGCAUGAGGGCUCUGACGCCAAUCGUGCCGAAGCAAAAGUGUUAAGUGCGCCGCCUGGGGAGUACGGCCGCAAGGCUAAAACUCAAAGGAAUUGACGGGGGCUCACACAAGCAGUGGAGCAUGUGGAUUAAUUCGAAGCAACGCGAAGAACCUUACCUGGGUUUGACAUGCUUGGAUGCCCUUCUGGAAACAGGAGUAAGCUGCCUUCGGGUGAAACUUGCACAGGUGCUGCAUGGCUGUCGUCAGCUCGUGCUGUGAAGUGUCGGGUUAAGUCCCUUAACGAGCGAAACCCCUAUCGUUAGUUGCCAUCGGGUCAUGCCGGGAACU
rnacentral:rRNA from 1 species